AUUAUUAUUUGAUUGUAAUAAUAUUUUAAUUUAGGUAUAUCUAACUAGGAUGGGGAUUAGCUCAUUUUGGUUUAAUUUAUUAUAACUUUAUGUUAAUGGUUGUUAAAUUAUUAGUUGUUAGGUUUUGAAUCUGUUAUAUUUAUAUAGUUCGUUUUAGGAAUCUUUUAAAUUAAUGUUUUUAAUUAUAUAUGGUGGUUUUGUUUUAAUUUUUUUAUGGGGGUGUUUUUUUUAAUUUGUUUGGAAAAGUAGUAAUUCCUUAAUUAGUAGAUUAUUGAUUAAUGUUUGGAAAGUUUUAAAAUAAAUGGUGGAAUUAUAUGUAUUAUGUGUCUUUUUUAAUUUCAGUAAAGGAACUAGGCAAAAAUAGCAUCUGCCUGUUUAUUAAAAACAUGGCUUUUUGUUAUAUAUAAUAAGUCUGGCCUGCUCUCUGAUAUCGUUAUAUUGAAGAGCUGCAGUAUACUUGACUGUACAAAGGUAGCAUAGUAGUUUGCCUAUUAAUUAUUGGCUUGUAUGAAUGGUUUGACAAGAUGUUGACUGUCUCUAUUGUAAGUAUAUUUAAUUUUACCUCCUAAAGUGAAGAGGCUAGGAUGGUUCUGAGGGACGAAAAGACCCUAUAGAUUUUUACUUAUUGAUUUACUUAUGUUUAUUAGGAGCGAAUUUAUGUUAUUAGUUGUUUGUAUAAUAGAUAAGUUUUACUGGGGCGGUAGUUAAAGAUAUGGAUCUUUAGUUUGAUAGUAAUGCACUGAUGGGUGUAAUGAUCCUUUAUUAUGGAUAAUAAGAUUUAAAUACCUUAGGGAUAACAGCGUUAUU
rnacentral:rRNA from 1 species